UGGGCUUUCGCCAAGUGGUAAGGCACUGGAUUCUGAUUCCAGCAUUUCGGGGGUUCGAAUCCCUCAAGCCCAGCUA
rnacentral:tRNA from 4 species